rnacentral:rRNA from 1 species
CACACUGGACUGAGACACGGUCCAGACUCCUACGGGAGGCAGCAGUGGGGAAUAUUGCACAAUGGGCGCAAGCCUGAUGCAGCCAUGCCGCGUGUGUGAAGAAGGCCUUCGGGUUGUAAAGCACUUUCAGUCGUGAGGAAGGUAGUGUAGUUAAUAGCUGCAUUAUUUGACGUUAGCGACAGAAGAAGCACCGGCUAACUCCGUGCCAGCAGCCGCGGUAAUACGGAGGGUGCGAGCGUUAAUCGGAAUUACUGGGCGUAAAGCGCAUGCAGGUGGUUUGUUAAGUCAGAUGUGAAAGCCCGGGGCUCAACCUCGGAAUUGCAUUUGAAACUGGCAGACUAGAGUACUGUAGAGGGGGGUAGAAUUUCAGGUGUAGCGGUGAAAUGCGUAGAGAUCUGAAGGAAUACCGGUGGCGAAGGCGGCCCCCUGGACAGAUACUGACACUCAGAUGCGAAAGCGUGGGGAGCAAACAGGAUUAGAUACCCUGGUAGUCCACGCCGUAAACGAUGUCUACUUGGAGGUUGUGGCCUUGAGCCGUGGCUUUCGGAGCUAACGCGUUAAGUAGACCGCCUGGGGAGUACGGUCGCAAGAUUAAAACUCAAAUGAAUUGACGGGGGCCCGCACAAGCGGUGGAGCAUGUGGUUUAAUUCGAUGCAACGCGAAGAACCUUACCUACUCUUGACAUCCAGA